rnacentral:rRNA from 1 species
ACGCACGCUGGCGGCGUGCUUCACACCUGCAAGUCGAACGGAAAGGCCCCUUUGGGGGUACUCGAGUGGCGAACGGGUGAGUAACACGUGAGUAACCUGCCCUUGACUUCGGGAUAACUUCAGGAAACUGGGGCUAAUACCGGAUAGGAAUCCUUGCUGCAUGGUGGGGGUUGGAAAGCUUCGGCGGUUUUGGAUGGACUCGCGGCUUAUCAGCUUGUUGGUGGGGUAGUGGCUUACCAAGGCUUUGACGGGUAGCCGGCCUGAGAGGGCGACCGGCCACAUUGGGACUGAGAGACGGCCCAGACUCCGACGGGAGGCAGCAGUGGGGAAUAUUGCACAAUGGGCGGAAGCCUGAUGCAGCAACGCCGCGUGCGGGAUGACGGCCUUCGGGUUGUAAACCGCUUUCAGCAGGGGCGAAGCUUGUGGUGACGGUACCUGCAGAAGAAGCACCGGCUAACUACGUG